rnacentral:rRNA from 1 species
UACGUAGGGUGCAAGCGUUGUCCGGAAUUAUUGGACGUAAAGAGCUCGUAGGCGGUCUGUCGCGUCUGCUGUGAAAACUCGGGGCUUAACCCCGGGCCUGCAGUGGGUACGGGCAGACUAGAGUGCGGUAGGGGAGACUGGAAUUCCUGGUGUAGCGGUGAAAUGCGCAGAUAUCAGGAGGAACACCGGUGGCGAAGGCGGGUCUCUGGGCCGAUACUGACGCUGAGGAGCGAAAGCGUGGGGAGCGAACAGG